GGUGUCCGUAUUUUGGUUGGUUC
rnacentral:siRNA from 1 species